rnacentral:lncRNA from 1 species
CCCUGACCCAGCGAAUCUGCCCGGCCACUCAGCGCCGCCGCCGGCCCCGGCCAGCCAAUCAGCGCGCGGCGGCGGACGCGGGCCGGCCACGGGGCCAGCUGCAGAGGCGGCCGCGGCGGGCGGCGCCCGGGAGGGGCGGCGGGGCCGAGGCCUGCGGCGGCCGGGGGAGGGGACCCGAGCGGGGCUGGUGGCCGGGGGAGCCCCGAGCGAGACCGGCGGCGGCGAGGCUGAGCGAGGGCAUCCCUGCCCCGCGCUGGACCCCGGGAAGCAAGAGGAAUUUCAAAGCAGACCAAGCAGUAAUAAUUUAGAAAUGGGGUAAGAUAUCUCAGAAGUCGAUGAAACCAAAUUCAUCUUCUUAUCCCUGGGACCUAGCAUGGUGCCUGGAAUAGAGUGGACAUUGACAUACCUGCACGUGAAUUGUGGAUCUGGUUUGAGUUCUUUCCCUGGAAGUCUUCUCCACUUGCACAACGGAGAGUGCAGUCGGAAACUGGAAGAGGCAUCCUCUUACUCUCUUCUGCUGCUGCUGCUGCUGCUAAGUCGCUUCAGUCAUGUCCGACUCUGUGCGACCCCAUAGAUGCAAGCCCACCAGGCUCCCCCAUCCCUGGGAUUCUCCAGGCAAGAACACUGGAGUGGGUUGCCAUUUCCUUCUCCAAUGCAUUAAAGUGAAAAGUGAAAAGUGAAAGGGAAGUCGCUCAGUCAUGUCACUCUCCUCUA